rnacentral:lncRNA from 1 species
UGGUCUGGUGUAACAAGUUCAUCAACUGGUCAUAAUCAUGUUUGCUCAACCCUGGAAUCACAUAGCUUUGACCAUCUAGGCUUGCAACAGACUGAUGGUUAGCAGGAGGAUACCCUUGAGGAACAGACAGCAGUCCAUCAGAAAUAGGAGAAUCCAGACCAGAACUCAGAUGGGCAGCAGCAGGCCUCCUUCCCUUGUUAAAUGUGGGACUUUGUGGAUACCCAUA